rnacentral:rRNA from 1 species
UUGGCGGCCGUAGCGCGGUGGUCCCACCUGACCCCAUGCCGAACUCAGAAGUGAAACGCCGUAGCGCCGAUGGUAGUGUGGGGUCUCCCCAUGCGAGAGUAGGGAACUGCCAGGC